GUCACCCAUCCCUGCCCACCCCCCAAACGCAGGGGGACAGGCAGGACCCCCAGGCUGUACCCAGCAUGGUGGGGCUGGGGACAGGGCUGGGGACACCAUGGGGGUGGUGGUUCCCUCCCUGCCCCCUCUGCUCCCCAUAGAAAUCCUGCAGAAGAUGACCAUCGGCACCAUGGAGCAGUCGGGCUUCUCCAGGGCCACCAGAAGGACCGACAGCCUCCUGCCAACCCUGCCAGGCCAGCCCGUGAGCCCCCCCCACAUCACCCCACCGCGUCCCCUGUCCCCUCUCAGNNNNNNNNNNCGUAAGGGGGACAAGGGGAGGGGAAAGGGGGGUGACAAAGCCAGACCUUCCCCCCCCUAAGCAGGCAGAGCCGUGGGGCAGGGGACACGGUGUCCCUGCCACCACCCCAUCUUCCAUCAGGGCCACGAGAUGCUCCCGGCGGUGCCCACGGGCUCCGAGAGAGGCAGCGGGUUCAACCGGGAGGUGCCAACCUCCCUGGGCACGGCGAGCUUGCCCGCCGUGGGCCACCACGUCCCGCUCGUCUUCCGUGGGCGACUGGCACCCCCAGUGCCCCUGAAAAGUGUUAGGAAGGAGCCAUCAGGGUUCACCACUAACCACGGCCGGUACAUCCCACCCAUGCCCCCCCCAGCGCCAGCCCAACGUUGGUGGGUUCCAACCUGGAUGACGGGACCCUUGGGGAGCAUCCAGCCCCAGCGCCCCAGUGGCUUCAACACCAACAACCACCCCACGGGGGACAUUGUGGGGUGACGCCACCCCCACGCACCCCCCAGGGUGUGCUGCUGCAUCCCGGGGGUGCCAACCCCCCAAUUCUUUGGGUGUCCCCCCCCCUCGCCCCGAUCCCUGGGAGAAAUAAACUCCCAAACCAGUGUUUCUGGGCA
rnacentral:lncRNA from 1 species